GCGAGGAGCAGGCUGCCCUUUGCUUCUUACAGCAGAGAGGUAGGCGAUACUAUCUGCAUCCAGUCUACACCUUAGGAAGAAAAGUUAGGGAACCGCCAUUUUCCUAGCCACCAGGCCCGUUCCUCCUGUAAGCCCCUCGGACUUAAAAAAUAACGAAAAUGGGAUGCGGUUCGCUUUCCAUUACUCUGGCCACUGAUGAAUUACACACUCAUUUCACCCCGUCGUCAUCAACUCUCGGGGAAGUUUAAAAGGACAAAAGAAGAAAGCGGAAUCGGCUGGCUUUCCGUGGUAUUUCCACGUGUACGUGGGGACUUUCCUUUGAGCCAAGGCUGAGGUCGGGGCCAAUAAUAGCUGGUAUCGCCUGACUGCUAAUACCAAGCUGAUGAGGAGGUGACUACCCCAGCAACCUCUGAUUAAACACAGCGGCACUCGCCCACCC